rnacentral:rRNA from 1 species
AACGAACGCUGGCGGCAGGCUUAACACAUGCAAGUCGAGCGCGCGCCUUCGGGCGUGAGCGGCGGACGGGUGAGUAACGCGUGGGAACGUGCCCUUUGGUUCGGAAUAGCCCUGGGAAACUGGGAGUAAUGCCGAAUAAGCUCUACGGAGGAAAGAUUUAUCGCCAAAGGAUCGGCCCGCGUUGGAUUAGGUAGUUGGUGGGGUAAUGGCCUACCAAGCCGACGAUCCAUAGCUGGUUUGAGAGGAUGAUCAGCCACACUGGGACUGAGACACGGCCCAGACUCCUACGGGAGGCAGCAGUGGGGAAUCUUGGACAAUGGGGGCAACCCUGAUCCAGCCAUGCCGCGUGAUCGAUGAAGGCCUUAGGGUUGUAAAGAUCUUUCAGCUGGGAAGAUAAUGACGGUACCAGCAGAAGAAGCCCCGGCUAACUCCGUGCCAGCAGCCGCGGUAAUAC